CAGUAGCCGCGGUAACACGGAGGGUGCAAGCGUUAAUCGGAAUUACUGGGCGUAAAGCGCACGCAGGCGGUCUGUCAAGUCGGAUGUGAAAUCCCCGGGCUCAACCUGGGAACUGCAUUCGAAACUGGCAGGCUAGAGUCUUGUAGAGGGGGGUAGAAUUCCAGGUGUAGCGGUGAAAUGCGUAGAGAUCUGGAGGAAUACCGGUGGCGAAGGCGGCCCCCUGGACAAAGACUGACGCUCAGGUGCGAAAGCGUGGGGAGCAAACAGGAUUAGAUACCCGGGUAGUCCCUGUCUCUUAUAC
rnacentral:rRNA from 1 species